rnacentral:rRNA from 1 species
AGUGAACGCUGGCGGUAGGCCUAACACAUGCAAGUCGAACGGCAGCACAGUAAGAGCUUGCUCUUACGGGUGGCGAGUGGCGGACGGGUGAGGAAUACAUCGGAAUCUACUUUUUCGUGGGGGAUAACGUAGGGAAACUUACGCUAAUACCGCAUACGACCUACGGGUGAAAGCAGGGGAUCUUCGGACCUUGCGCGAUUGAAUGAGCCGAUGUCGGAUUGGCUAGUUGGCGGGGUAAAGGCCCACCAAGGCGACGAUCCGUAGCUGGUCUGAGAGGAUGCUCAGCCACACUGGGACUGAGACACGGUCCAGACGCCUACGGGAGGCAGCAGUGGGGAAUAUUGGACAAUGGGCUCAAGCCUGAUCCAGCCAUACCGCGUGGGUGAAGAAGGCCUUCGGGUUGUAAAGCCCUUUUGUUGGGAAAGAAAAGCAGCAGGUUAAGACCCCGCUGUUCUGACGGUACCCAAAGAAUAAGCACCGGCUAACUUCGUG